AACUGGGGCCCAUAAUAAAAAAUCUAAGUACAUUUUUGGAUUCAGCAUUUCAAAGAACCCCAAGAUUUCAAUUUUUGUUAAAAUGAGACUAAGUUUAAUUUUGGACCCUUUGGACUUUAGUGUAGACCAAUUUGAAAACAGGACCAAAAAUGAAGAAUCUACAUACACAGUUAGAUUUGGUAUAUCAAAGAACCCCAUUUUAUUCAAUUUUUGAUGAAAUCAAACAAAGUUUAAUUUUGGACCCGAUUUGAACCAACUUGAAAACUGGGCCAAUAAUCAAGAAUCUAAGUAACAUUUU
rnacentral:lncRNA from 1 species